rnacentral:rRNA from 1 species
GAUGAACGCUGGCGGCGUGCCUAAUACAUGCAAGUCGAGCGAACAGACGAGGAGCUUGCUCCUCUGACGUUAGCGGCGGACGGGUGAGUAACACGUGGAUAACCUACCUAUAAGACUGGGAUAACUUCGGGAAACCGGAGCUAAUACCGGAUAACAUGUUGAACCGCAUGGUUUAACAGUGAAAGACGGUCUUGCUGUCACUUAUAGAUGGAUCCGCGCCGCAUUAGCUAGUUGGUAAGGUAACGGCUUACCAAGGCAACGAUGCGUAGCCGACCUGAGAGGGUGAUCGGCCACACUGGAACUGAGACACGGUCCAGACUCCUACGGGAGGCAGCAGUAGGGAAUCUUCCGCAAUGGGCGAAAGCCUGACGGAGCAACGCCGCGUGAGUGAAGAAGGUCUUCGGAUCGUAAAACUCUGUUAUUAGGGAAGAACAAAUGUGUAAGUUACUAUGCACGUCUUGACGGUACCUAAUCAGAAAGCCACGGCUAACUACGUG